rnacentral:rRNA from 1 species
AACGAACGCUGGCGGCAUGCCUAACACAUGCAAGUCGAACGAGACCUUCGGGUCUAGUGGCGCACGGGUGCGUAACGCGUGGGAAUCUGCCCUUAGGUACGGAAUAACUCAGAGAAAUUUGUGCUAAUACCGUAUGAUGUCGAAAGACCAAAGAUUUAUCGCCUAAGGAUGAGCCCGCGUAAGAUUAGCUUGUUGGUGAGGUAAAAGCUCACCAAGGCGACGAUCUUUAGCUGGUCUGAGAGGAUGAUCAGCCACACUGGGACUGAGACACGGCCCAGACUCCUACGGGAGGCAGCA